AUUGAACGCUGGCGGCAUGCCUUACACAUGCAAGUCGAACGGCAGCACGGGUGCUUGCACCUGGUGGCGAGUGGCGAACGGGUGAGUAAUACAUCGGAACGUACCUUAUCGUGGGGGAUAACGCAGCGAAAGCUGUGCUAAUACCGCAUACGCCCUGAGGGGGAAAGCGGGGGAUCGCAAGACCUCGCGCGAUUAGAGCGGCCGAUGCCUGAUUAGCUAGUUGGUGGGGUAAAAGCCCACCAAGGCGACGAUCAGUAGCUGGUCUGAGAGGACGAUCAGCCACACUGGGACUGGGACACGGCCCGGACUCCUACGGGAGGCAGCAGUGGGGAAUUUUGGACAAUGGGGGCAACCCUGAUCCAGCAAUGCCGCGUGAGUGAAGAAGGCCUUCGGGUUGUAAAGCUCUUUUGUCAGGGAAGAAACACCGGCUCUAACACAGUCCGGGAAUGACGGUACCUGAAGAAUAAGCACCGGCUAACUACGUGCCAGCCGCCGCAGUAA
rnacentral:rRNA from 1 species